GCAUGGGUUUGGAUUUAUGGCAGGCCCAUCUCCCUGGGCCUCUCAUAGUGCCCCAUGCCAGAGCAAAAACUGUGGCCCCGAACCAUUGCCUGGCCUUUGUGCCCAUAGGCUGCAGGCACUGAAGCGGGUUGCACAGUG